rnacentral:rRNA from 1 species
AUUGAACGCUGGCGGCAGGCUUAACACAUGCAAGUCGAGCGAGCGGCGGACGGGUGAGUAGUUUCUGGGAAACUGCCUGAUGGAGGGGGCUAACUACUGGAAACGGUAGCUACUAGCGCAUACCGUCCGAUGUGCUCAGAUGGGAUUAGCUAGUAGGUGGGGUAUUGGCUCACCUAGGCGACGAUCCCUAGCGGGUCUGAGAGGAUGACCGGCCACACUGGAACUGAGACACGGUCCAGACUCCUACGGGAGGCAGCAGUGGGGAAUAGUGCGCAAUGGGCGCAAGUCUGAUGCAGCCAUGCCGCGUGUGUGAAGAAGGCCUUCGGGUUGUAAAGCACUUUUAGCGAGGAGGCGGUACUCGCAGAAGAAGCACCGGCUAACUCCGUGCCAGCAGCCGCGGUAAUAC